rnacentral:rRNA from 1 species
AGAUAAGGAGCUUGCUCCUUUGACGUUAGCGGCGGACGGGUGAGUAACACGUGGGUAACCUACCUAUAAGACUGGAAUAACUCCGGGAAACCGGGGCUAAUGCCGGAUAACAUUUAGAACCGCAUGGUUCUAAAGUGAAAGAUGGUUUUGCUAUCACUUAUAGAUGGACCCGCGCCGUAUUAGCUAGUUGGUAAGGUAAUGGCUUACCAAGGCAACGAUACGUAGCCGACAUGAGAGGGUGAUCGGCCACACUGGAACUGAGACACGGUCCAGACUCCUACGGGAGGCAGCAGUAGGGAAUCUUCCGCAAUGGGCGAAAGCCUGACGGAACAACGCCGCGUGAGUGAUGAAGGGUUUCGGCUCGUAAAACUCUGUUAUUAGGGAGGAACAAACGUGUAAGUAACUGUGCACGUCUUGACGGUACCUAAUCAGAAAGCCACUGCUAACUACGUGCCAGCAGCCGCGGUAAUACGUAGGUGGCAAGCGUUAUCCGGAAUUAUUGGGCGUAAAGCGCGCGUAGGCGGUUUCUUAAGUCUGAUGUGAAAGCCCACGGCUCAACCGUGGAGGGUCAUUGGAAACUGGGAGACUUGAGUGCAGAAGAGGAAAGUGGAAUUCCAUGUGUAGCGGUGAAAUGCGCAGAGAUAUGGAGGAACACCAGUGGCGCAGGCGACUUUCUGGUCUGUAACAGACGCUGAUGUGCGAAAGCGUGGGGAUCAAACAGGAUUAGAUACCCUGGUAGUCCACGCCGUAAACGAUGAGUGCUAAGUGUUAGGGGGUUUCCGCCCCUUAGUGCUGCAGCUAACGCAUUAAGCACUCCGCCUGGGGAGUACGACCGCAAGGUUGAAACUCAAAGGAAUUGACGGGGACCCGCACAAGCGGUGGAGCAUGUG